GAGGGGCCCGCGCCCGAUUAGCUUGUUGGUAGGGUAACGGCCUACCAAGGCUUUGAUCGGUAGCCGGUCUGAGAGGAUGGCCGGCCACACUGGAACUGAGACACGGUCCAGACUCCUACGGGAGGCAGCAGUGGGGAAUCUUGCGCAAUGGGCGAAAGCCUGACGCAGCGACGCCGCGUGGGGGAUGAAGCCUUUCGGGGUGUAAACCCCUUUCGACCCGGACGAAUGGCCCGCAAGGGAAUUGACGGUACGGGUAGAAGAAGCCCCGGCUAACUACGUGCCGGCAGCCGCGGUAAGACGUAGGGGGCCAGCGUUGCUCGGAAUUACUGGGCGUAAAGGGUCCGUAGGCGGUGCGGCAAGUCGGGGGUGAAAUCUCUGGGCUUAACUCAGAGGCUGCCUCCGAAACUGCCGUGCUCGAGUGCGGGAGAGGCGAGCGGAAUUGCAGGUGUAGCGGUGAAAUGCGUAGAUAUCUGCAGG
rnacentral:rRNA from 1 species